CCACGUAAGAUGUGAUUUGCCUCUCCUUGCCUUCUGCCAUGAUUGUGAGGCCUCCCCAGCCACGUGAAACUGAUCACAGGGCUCAGGCGAAGUCCAAGACUGUCAGAGGUGUGGAUAAAGUUAAAAUAUUUAACCUUCUCAUGUAAACAUAAGGGUAGAACCUUCUUCAAACAAGGACCACUGAGUAUAAUUUCCUACGAGAUGAUUUGUGAGUCUCCAUGCAUGAGUCUACGGCUAAGGUUGAAAUUUAGAAGUUGGCAGCAUCUAACCAAGGAAGUAUUGAAAAUUACAAUAAAAUGCCCUAAUUGUCUCUU